rnacentral:rRNA from 1 species
UACGUAGGGCGCGAGCGUUGUCCGGAAUUAUUGGGCGUAAAGAGCUCGUAGGCGGCUUGUCGCGUCGGAUGUGAAAGCCCGGGGCUUAACCCCGGGUCUGCAUUCGAUACGGGCAGGCUAGAGUUCGGUAGGGGAGAUCGGAAUUCCUGGUGUAGCGGUGAAAUGCGCAGAUAUCAGGAGGAACACCGGUGGCGAAGGCGGGUCUCUGGGCAGUAACUGACGCUGAGGAGCGAAAGCAUGGGGAGCGAACAGG